rnacentral:rRNA from 1 species
GGUUAAGCGACUAAGCGUACACGGUGGAUGCCCUGGCAGUCAGAGGCGAUGAAGGACGUGCUAAUCUGCGAUAAGCGCCGGUAAGGUGAUAUGAACCGUUAUAACCGGCGAUUUCCGAAUGGGGAAACCCAGUGUGACUCGUCACACUAUCAUUAACUGAAUCCAUAGGUUAAUGAGGCGAACCGGGGGAACUGAAACAUCUAAGUACCCCGAGGAAAAGAAAUCAACCGAGAUUCCCCCAGUAGCGGCGAGCGAACGGGGAGGAGCCCAGAGCCUGAAUCAGCAUGUGUGUUAGUGGAAGCGUCUGGAAAGGCGCGCGAUACAGGGUGACAGCCCCGUACACAAAAGCGCAUGUGCUGUGAGCUCGAUGAGUAGGGCGGGACACGUGGUAUCCUGUCUGAAUAUGGGGGGACCAUCCUCCAAGGCUAAAUACUCCUGACUGACCGAUAGUGAACCAGUACCGUGAGGGAAAGGCGAAAAGAACCCCGGCGAGGGGAGUGAAAAAGAACCUGAAACCGUGUACGUACAAGCAGUGGGAGCACAGGUUUACCUGUGUGACUGCGUACCUUUUGUAUAAUGGGUCAGCGACUUAUAUUCUGUAGCAAGGUUAACCGAAUAGGGGAGCCGGAGGGAAACCGAGUCUUAAUUGGGCGUUAAGUUGCAGGGUAUAGACCCGAAACCCGGUGAUCUAGCCAUGGGCAGGUUGAAGGUUGGGUAACACUAACUGGAGGACCGAACCGACUAAUGUUGAAAAAUUAGCGGAUGACCUGUGGCUGGGGGUGAAAGGCCAAUCAAACCGGGAGAUAGCUGGUUCUCCCCGAAAGCUAUUUAGGUAGCGCCUCGUGAAUUCAUCUCCGGGGGUAGAGCACUGUUUCGGCUAGGGGGCCAUCCCGGCUUACCAACCCGAUGCAAACUGCGAAUACCGGAGAAUGUUAUCACGGGAGACACACGGCGGGUGCUAACGUCCGUCGUGAAGAGGGAAACAACCCAGACCGCCAGCUAAGGUCCCAAAGUCAUGGUUAAGUGGGAAACGAUGUGGGAAGGCCCAGACAGCCAGGAUGUUGGCUUAGAAGCAGCCAUCAUUUAAAGAAAGCGUAAUAGCUCACUGGUCGAGUCGGCCUGCGCGGAAGAUGUAACGGGGCUAAACCAUGCACCGAAGCUGCGGCAGCGAACGUAUCACCCAAGACAACUUUACGGAGUUGACGAUUGACGGAGCGAAGCGACGUCAAAGCGUUCAUUAAAGUCGAGUUGGCUUAGGGAUACGUUCGUUGGGUAGGGGAGCGUUCUGUAAGCCUGUGAAGGUGUGUCGUGAGGCAUGCUGGAGGUAUCAGAAGUGCGAAUGCUGACAUAAGUAACGAUAAAGCGGGUGAAAAGCCCGCUCGCCGGAAGACCAAGGGUUCCUGUCCAACGUUAAUCGGGGCAGGGUGAGUCGACCCCUAAGGCGAGGCCGAAAGGCGUAGUCGAUGGGAAACGGGUUAAUAUUCCCGUACUUGGUGUUACUGCGAAGGGGGGACGGAGAAGGCUAUGUUGGCCGGGCGACGGUUGUCCCGGUUUAAGCGUGUAGGUGUGUGUUCCAGGUAAAUCCGGUUCACUUUAACACUGAGGCGUGACGACGAGGCACUACGGUGCUGAAGCAACAAAUGCCCUGCUUCCAGGAAAAGCCUCUAAGCAUCAGGUAACAUCAAAUCGUACCCCAAACCGACACAGGUGGUCAGGUAGAGAAUACCAAGGCGCUUGAGAGAACUCGGGUGAAGGAACUAGGCAAAAUGGUGCCGUAACUUCGGGAGAAGGCACGCUGACACGUAGGUGAAGUGAUUUACUCAUGGAGCUGAAGUCAGUCGAAGAUACCAGCUGGCUGCAACUGUUUAUUAAAAACACAGCACUGUGCAAACACGAAAGUGGACGUAUACGGUGUGACGCCUGCCCGGUGCCGGAAGGUUAAUUGAUGGGGUCAGCGCAAGCGAAGCUCCUGAUCGAAGCCCCGGUAAACGGCGGCCGUAACUAUAACGGUCCUAAGGUAGCGAAAUUCCUUGUCGGGUAAGUUCCGACCUGCACGAAUGGCGUAAUGAUGGCCAGGCUGUCUCCACCCGAGACUCAGUGAAAUUGAACUCGCUGUGAAGAUGCAGUGUACCCGCGGCAAGACGGAAAGACCCCGUGAACCUUUACUAUAGCUUGACACUGAACAUUGAGCCUUGAUGUGUAGGAUAGGUGGGAGGCUUUGAAGUGUGGACGCCAGUCUGCAUGGAGCCGACCUUGAAAUACCACCCUUUAAUGUUUGAUGUUCUAACGUGGACCCGUAAUCCGGGUUGCGGACAGUGUCUGGUGGGUAGUUUGACUGGGGCGGUCUCCUCCUAAAGAGUAACGGAGGAGCACGAAGGUUGGCUAAUCCUGGUCGGACAUCAGGAGGUUAGUGCAAUGGCAUAAGCCAGCUUGACUGCGAGCGUGACGGCGCGAGCAGGUGCGAAAGCAGGUCAUAGUGAUCCGGUGGUUCUGAAUGGAAGGGCCAUCGCUCAACGGAUAAAAGGUACUCCGGGGAUAACAGGCUGAUACCGCCCAAGAGUUCAUAUCGACGGCGGUGUUUGGCACCUCGAUGUCGGCUCAUCACAUCCUGGGGCUGAAGUAGGUCCCAAGGGUAUGGCUGUUCGCCAUUUAAAGUGGUACGCGAGCUGGGUUUAGAACGUCGUGAGACAGUUCGGUCCCUAUCUGCCGUGGGCGCUGGAGAACUGAGGGGGGCUGCUCCUAGUACGAGAGGACCGGAGUGGACGCAUCACUGGUGUUCGGGUUGUCAUGCCAAUGGCACUGCCCGGUAGCUAAAUGCGGAAGAGAUAAGUGCUGAAAGCAUCUAAGCACGAAACUUGCCCCGAGAUGAGUUCUCCCUGAGACUUAGAGUCUCCUGAAGGAACGUUGAAGACGACGACGUUGAUAGGCCGGGUGUGUAAGCGCAGCGAUGCGUUGAGCUAACCGGUACUAAUGAACCGUGAGGCUUAACCUU